rnacentral:rRNA from 1 species
AGAGUUUGAUCCUGGCUCAGGAUAAACGCUGGCGGCGUGCCUAACACAUGCAAGUCGAACGCCCUUGAGCAAUCGAGGGAGUGGCGGACGGGUGAGUAACACGUGAGUAUCUACCCCUUAGUGAGGAAUACCGGCGAGAAAUCGCCGACAAGACCGCAUAGGCUUCGCAAGAAGCAAAGCUCGCGAGAGCGCUGAGGGAU